rnacentral:rRNA from 1 species
CCCAGACUCCUACGGGAGGCAGCAGUGAGGAAUAUUGGUCAAUGGGCUUACGCCUGAACCAGCCAAGUCGCGUGAGGGAAGACGGUCCUAUGGAUUGUAAACCUCUUUUGUCGGGGAGCAAAAAGGCCUCGUGAGGCCACAAGUGAGAGUACCCGAAGAAAAAGCAUCGGCUAACUCCGUGCCAGCAGCCGCGGUAAUACGGAGGAUGCGAGCGUUAUCCGGAUUUAUUGGGUUUAAAGGGUGCGCAGGCGGAGGUGCAAGUCAGCGGUCAAAUUGCGGGGCUCAACCCCGUACUGCCGUUGAAACUGCAUCCCUUGAGUGCGCGAGAAGUAUGCGGAAUGCGUGGUGUAGCGGUGAAAUGCUUAGAUAUUGCGCAGAACUCCGAUUGCGAAGGCAGCAUACCGGCGGCGAUCUGACGCUGAGGCACGAAAGCGUGGGUAUCGAACAGGAUUAGAUACCCGAGUAGC